AGUUGAUAUGUUAAUAAUCUAUACUUUUAGAUUAGCAGUUGAUCUAUCAAUGGAUAAGUAAAUAGGUGACAUAAUUGUAAAUAUUUGAAGUCAUAUAAUCUAACCAAGUGAAGUGAAGAUCGAUCUCUAGUCAUGAAGUAUCAAUGGCUAAAUAGUAAGUUUAUUAAUCGCUACAUCAACUCAUCAAUGGCUAAUCAAGGAAGGCUAUCAAUCGCUAGUUCAAGAAUGC
rnacentral:lncRNA from 1 species